rnacentral:ribozyme from 1 species
UGCCCAGCAACUCCUAUCCCUACCUCCACGCGGUACCGGCCGGAAACUAUGAGCAACCUUAGGGAUGAUCGGGUAACCAACCCCGGUGGGAACUUUGGUCGUAGGCUGACAUGGAAGG